rnacentral:rRNA from 1 species
GAUGAACGCUAGCGGCAGGCCUAACACAUGCAAGUCGAGGGGUAGAAGGAGCUUGCUCCUUUGAGACCGGCGCACGGGUGCGUAACGCGUAUGCAAUCUACCUUGUACAGGGGAAUAGCCCAGAGAAAUUUGGAUUAAUGCCCCAUAGUAUAUAACCUUCGCAUGUUGGUUAUAUUAAAGUUCCAACGGUACAAGAUGAGCAUGCGUCCCAUUAGUUAGUUGGUAAGGUAACGGCUUACCAAGACGAUGAUGGGUAGGUGUCCUGAGAGGGAGAUCCCCCACACUGGUACUGAGACACGGACCAGACUCCUACGGGAGGCAGCAGUGAGGAAUAUUGGUCAAUGGUCGCAAGACUGAACCAGCCAUGCCGCGUGCAGGAAGACGGUCCUAUGGAUUGUAAACUGCUUUUAUACAGGAAGAAACCCUCCCACGUGUGGGAGCUUGACGGUACUGUAGGAAUAAGGAUCGGCUAACUCCGUG